UUGACAGUUUGUCUGCUAGUGAUGUGUGUGUGUGUACUUUGACAGUUUGUCUGCUAGUGAUGUGAGUGUACUUUGUCUGUUUGUCAGUGUGACGUGUGUCACUACAACCGAUGGACAAGAUCUGAUGCAUUCUUUCUCGCUUGGCCAUUAUCAGCACCCCCUGAUAAAGACAUCUUCCCUUGGCCAUGAUUUGGCAUUCUAGUUAAGAAACAGCAGGUGAUGAGACUGAAACUGACCCCAAAGGACCCAAACAUGGACCUGAAUGAUCCAUCUUUGCAGUAGGCCAUCUUGCAGCAGCUGAGGGAGAAGUCUGAUCCUUCCCUCACACUGAGAUGGACGGAACAGCCUGAUGGAAAGAUCUUCCACAAAGAAAAAAAUGAGUAGAAAAACGAUUGCAUGUCUGUUAUGUAUACUUAAAU